rnacentral:rRNA from 1 species
GUUGAAACACUGGUUCUCAUACAAUCACUGAAGUUAAGCAACAUUGAGCCUGGUCAGUACCUAGAUGGGUAACCACUUGGGAAUACCAGGUUCUGUAAG